CGAGCUAACACUCAUCAACCCUGUGACAUACCUAAAACGUUGCUUCGGCGGGAACAGACGGCCCCGUAACACGGGCCGCCCCCGCCAGAGGACCCCCUAACUCUGUUUCUAUUAUGUUUCUUCUGAGUAAAACAAGCAAAUAAAUUAAAACUUUCAACAACGGAUCUCUUGGCUCUGGCAUCGAUGAAGAACGCAGCGAAAUGCGAUAAGUAAUGUGAAUUGCAGAAUUCAGUGAAUCAUCGAAUCUUUGAACGCACAUUGCGCCCGCCAGUAUUCUGGCGGGCAUGCCUGUUCGAGCGUCAUUACAACCCUCAGGCCCCCGGGCCUGGCGUUGGGGAUCGGCGAGGCGCCCCCUGCGGGCACACGCCGUCCCCCAAAUACAGUGGCGGUCCCGCCGCAGCUUCCAUUGCGUAGUAGCUAACACCUCGCAACUGGAGAGCGGCGCGGCCACGCCGUAAAACACCCAACUUCUGAAUGUUGACCUCGAAUCAGGUAGGAAUACCCGCUGAACUUAAGCAUAUCAAUAA
rnacentral:rRNA from 1 species